rnacentral:rRNA from 1 species
UAAAGAGUUCUAUAACUCCCAAACCCAUGUGAACAUACCUAACGUUGCCUCGGCAGGUCGCGCCUACCUCGUAGCCCCCUACCCUGUAGGGCCUACCCGGGAGACGCGGGUAAGCCUGCCGGCGGCCCACUAAACUCUGUUUGAUAUUGAAUUCUGAACCUAUAACUAAAUAAGUUAAAACUUUCAACAACGGAUCUCUUGGUUCUGGCAUCGAUGAAGAACGCAGCGAAAUGCGAUAAGUAAUGUGAAUUGCAGAAUUCAGUGAAUCAUCGAAUCUUUGAACGCAUAUUGCGCCCAUUAGUAUUCUAGUGGGCAGGACCGUUCGAGCGUCAUUUCGACCCUUAAGCCUUGGUUGCUUAGUGUUGGGAGCCUACGGUAACGUAGCUCCUCAAAGUUAGUGGCGGAGUUGGUUCACACUCUAGACGUAGUAAUUUUUUAUCUCGCCUAUUAGUUGGACCGAUCCCCUGCCGUAAAACCCCCAACUUCUCAAGGUUGACCUCGAAUCGGUUCAGACAAACUCGCUAAAUUGAAGCAUCUUAGUCAGCGAAGGAAAAGAAACCAACAGGGAUUGCCCUAGUAACGGCGAGUGAAGCGGCAACAGCUCAAAUUUGAAAUCUGGCCCUCGGGUCCGAGUUGUAAUUUGUAGAGGAUGCUUUUGGCGCGGUGCC